ACACCGGCAGCUCAAGUGGUGGCCAUUUUUAUUUGGGCCCUAAAGCGUUCGUAGCCGGCUUGAUAAGUCUCUGGUGAAAUCCCAUAGCUUAACUGUGGGAAUUGCUGGAGAUACUAUUAGGCUUGAGGCCGAGAGAGGUUAGGGGUACUCCCAGGGUAGGGGUGAAAUCCUAUAAUCCUGGGAGGACCACCUGUGGCGAAGGCGCCUAACUGGAACGGACCUGACGGUGAGUAACGAAAGCCAGGGGCGC
rnacentral:rRNA from 1 species